GAACUAAAUUUCAGAGCUUAGACCCUAUCUCACUAACAGGCUCCACCAAUACACUGGAACAGACUACUACAAAUUUCGUGAGGCUCAGAAUGUGGGUGAAUGCUAGGUGAGUGCUCUAACCACUGGGCUGUACAGUCAGUCACACUCUCUUUCCUUGGCUUAAUGGCUAUUCAUAGCCUUUGGGGCAGGGAAUGGAUGUGAGAAUAAUUUUACAGCCCAGCAGGUUAAAGCGCACACCUAGGAUGUGGGACGCUCAAGUUCACUCCCUGCUCCUGUAAGCCAGUGUCUGAAUGACCUCUCCUCUCCCUUCUAUUGAAGAACUGGGGCAAAGGAAAUCAGGAGCAGACUGUAUUUGCAUAGACAGACCAACUCUGUGUAGGCGAUCAGCAGACAGAUCUGCUUUGCUAAACUGACCAGUUUGGGGUCUUUCCUGUUGUACUGGAAAACCCAGGAGCACCACAGGUAGAAGAGUAUUUGUAAGCUAUCACGAUCACUAAGGAAUUGUGGUUCAAGUUCAGUAUAUCCUGAUCAUUAUGAACCUUCUGGAUAACAGCUGAAUCAGAACUUUACCGAGUGGUGAUUAAGAAAAUCCCAUGAGUCCAUUGGACUGCAGUCCUGCAGCAUUACACUUUAUGGAAGAAUACUCCUUCACUCCUUUUGACCAAGAAUCCUGAGUGGGAACAAAGAACAGAGGGACAGAUGGGGAUGUCUUGGCAGAAUAAAACCCACAGGAGCUUUGCUGCCAUGCGGGAUAAGAGAGAACCGCUGAGCAGCACAGAAGGGUUGGCCUUCUGUGCAAAUGCGUCAGCUCUCCAUAGAAGCUCAGAUCUGUGAACUUUAUUUCUGUACAUCUCGAGUCGCCUUUAGCCCUGGAGGACCACAACCCCAGUUAAAACUUCUGGAUGCCAAACCAUGCAAACUUGAAAUACAAACAUAAGAAUGGCCAUACUGGGUCAGACAUCUAGCCCAGUAUUCUGUCUCUGACAGUGGCCAGUGCCAGAUUCUUCUGGCACUUGGAGGUUUAGGAAAACCCAAAACACAGGUUUGCAUCCCUAUCUUGGCUAACAGCCAUUGAUGGACCUAUCUUCCAUGAACUGUCCUUAGUGAAGAUGGUGGCACCUGACAACUCUGCCCUGUACUGACACCAUCAAUGGAGAGGAAAAAUCCAAUCUCUUUAAAUACAAAUUUAAUCUAAUCCAGUAAAGCAAACACUUUUAUGCUCUAAUCAUAAUUAUAUAGUUUUGUAGCAUCUCCAGAGUGUGAAGUUAAGGUUAUCUGAAUACCUCAACUGUGCAUUUCCAUACUUUAAUAAAUUUAGAUUUGUUUAAAAUUUGUUUAACUGGGUUUCCAAUAUUUCUUUGGGGGGAAAUUACAACAUGCCUAUAAUAUUUUUAUGCUUAACUCCUGUUAUAUAUAAAAACAGGAAUUAAGGGUAUGUGUGUGUAUUAUAAUUUCCUUUGUCCUCCUCAUCAAUUUCUAUGGAUGCUUUCUGAGUGAAUUGUAGUUUUAUGAA